rnacentral:lncRNA from 1 species
AGCUAUGAUCUUGAAGAACAAGAACAAAGUAACAGAAACUGUUAAAAGAUCUGCUUCACUGAAGGCAACAAGACACAAAUUUCAGGAAGGGCCUAUAUCAGAAAGAAGGAACGGACGCACACCUCCCCAAGGAGCCCUGGCACUAACUACAACACACACAGGGUUUGGCCAGACCUGGACCAGCUUUUGGAAAACACUAACUCAACUGUCAUCCAACUUGCUGCAGUUAACCACCCGUCAGUCACCCAUCAGGGGGCAUGAAGCUCUGGUUUGAUCACUUUGCUAAGGGCUGCACAAGGAAGAAAAAAAGUCAUAAAACACUAUAUUGUCAAGCAGUACUCACUGCUUCUCCUCUUCACUGUCCUCUACCUUGAGUCCCUCAAAAUAUUUCACCUGCAUGACAUUUCUUCACUUGAGAUGCUGUUUGCCCUUUAAAUGGCAUCUUAGCA